UACGGAGGGUGCAAGCGUUAUCCGGAUUCACUGGGUUUAAAGGGCGCGCAGGCGGCUACGCACGUCCGUUGUGAAAUCGCUCGGCUCAACUGGGCGGGGUCAGCGGAUACGGCGUAGCUGGAGCAAGCUAGGGGGCAAUGGAAUUCCCGGUGUAGUGGUGGAAUGCGUAGAUAUCGGGAGGAACACCAGUGGCGAAGGCGGUUGCCUGGAGCUUUGCUGACGCUGAGGCGCGAAAGCGUGGGGAGCGAUCCGG
rnacentral:rRNA from 1 species